GAUGAACGCUAGCGGGAGGCCUAACACAUGCAAGCCGAGCGGUAUUUGUUCUUCGGAACAGAGAGAGCGGCGCACGGGUGCGGAACACGUGUGCAACCUGCCUUUAUCUGGGGGAUAGCCUUUCGAAAGGAAGAUUAAUACCCCAUAAUAUAUUGAGUGGCAUCACUUGAUAUUGAAAACUCCGGUGGAUAGAGAUGGGCACGCGCAAGAUUGGAUAGUUGGUGAGGUAACGGCUCACCAAGUCAAUGAUCUUUAGGGGGCCUGAGAGGGUGAUCCCCCACACUGGUACUGAGACACGGACCAGACUCCUACGGGAGGCGGCAGUGAGGAAUAUUGGACAAUGGGUUAGCGCCUGAUCCAGCCAUCCCGCGUGAAGGACGACGGCCCUAUGGGUUGUAAACUUCUUUUGUAUAGGGAUAAACCUACUCUCGUGAGAGUAGCUGAAGGUACUAUACGAAUAAGCACCGGCUAACUCCGUG
rnacentral:rRNA from 1 species